rnacentral:lncRNA from 1 species
UGGAGUUAGCAUUUAGUAAGAUCCAUGAGUCUAUAUUCUAAUGAACCACUGGAAAGCAUAAGAUAAACCAAACAAAUAGGACAAAAGUCAAUUUAUAAAGUGAAAGUACGUUAUCAACUUUUCUCUCCCGUCUUUCUGAUUUUACUCUCUGAAAUACCUCUGCAAAUUCAAAAUUUUCCCCCUUUUAGCUUUAACCACCGGAUACUCUAGUGCUCUGGUCUAUUAACCUCCGGGUUCGGCCUCCGACCCGGGUCGGUGGGCCGCCGUCAGCCAUGCCAUCAACGCCGGUAAGCUUCCCCACGGUGGUCUCUUUGAUUUCCGGUUUACGUUAACCUGUCUUGCUAUCUUCUCCCCUCAGUAGCAGUGAACCUUCAAGAGCUGUAGCUCUAAGACCUGUAUGGAAUCAAUCUCAACUUUCUAGAGUCAAUCUCUAAGAUCUUUCUCACUUUUUAAGUGUUGAACUGUUACUGGAAUAAUCUCUACCUAGAGUUAACUUCUAAGUUCUCUCUCACUGUUACGUACUGAAUCUUCUCCCUACAAGAAGUUUCAAUCGCAGUCUUCACUAUGUCUCGUCGUCUGACCUACUCUGAGAAAGGAAAAGGUCUAGCAACCCCUGAAUCUCCUCCCCGCCGUGGAAGAGUCAAACUACCAGACUAUGAUAUCUCAGAUCUGUUGAGAAAACACGAGCUCACCCUCAUAGGUAGGGUCACAAAUCUGAAAGCUCAGCGAUUAUGGUCUCUUAUCCCCUUCUUUGCUGACCAUUGGAAGUGCAAGGAAUGUUUCAAUUUCAAUUCGAGAACCCUGAAGACUUGGAAGCAGUACUAGACAACAGGCCAUAUCACUUUGCUAAAUGGAUGGUUAUCAUUCAAAAAUGGGAGCCUACAAUAUCACCUGAGUUCCCCUCACAGAUUCCCUUUUGGGUUCAAGUUCAAGGAGUACUUGUACCUCUAUGGAGUGAAAGUCUACUUCGUGGAGUUGGGGAAGACAUUGGUACCUUUGUGACCUGGGAAAUCACUGCAGCUAAAGCAAAACUCCGAGUCUUAAUCAACGGGUUAAGACCACUUAUUACCACAUCUACGAUUGAGUUUGCUAAUGGUGAUGAAGUAGUGGCUACCUUUGGUGUAUGAGAAGCUGGAGAAACAUUGUAAUUCAUGCUUUAGGCUGGACCAUGAGUGGGAUGAAUGCCCACAAAACCUGAAGAAUCGUAAAGAAGGACAUCACCAAAAAAGCCCCCUCUGCUAAAGAAAUGCAAGUACCUCGUCAGAGUUAUACGUCUACCGGUAAAUCUCUCACCAGUGGUGCUGAUCAUCGCCAAACCUCAGGUUUCAUGAGGGAUGCUAGAAGAUCUGGAACAGGAAGACACGUCCCUGCACCUAGAGCACAUCAAUCUGACAGAGCUUCUUUUGAAGAUGAUAGAAGAAACUAUAAAUACUCCUCCAGACCUUAUUUGGAGAGACCCUUGAACCACCAUAAAAAACCUAGAUGGGUAGACUCAGGGAGAAGACUCAAUUCAUCACAAUCCAUACAGGAUAGAAGAACCCCUGAGAAAGAGUAUAGAGCUCAAAUCAAUUCCCCUGGAAACAGAGCCUCUAUUCACCAGAAUUUUGAACCAUAUGAAACGGUACCUGCUACCUCUAGAAGUCGAGAGAAAACCACUAAUCUGAUGCAACAAGUACCUGCAAAUGUUAACAUUGAGGCUCUCAAUGAAGCCCGUGAAGAGAUCAGAGGAGUCAUGCAGCAGAACGUUAAUUGUGCCGAUCCCUCAGAAAGCGCUGCAAGGAAAGAGAGAGUUAGACUGGCUAACGAAAAAGGAGAAGAAGAAGAAGCUGCUAGAAAUCUGGCUCCAGCAAAUACAGCUCUGAUAGCUACCAUAUUAAUUGAGGAUGGAGUAAAUGAUAAUGCAAUGAAUGAGGAAGAGAGAAGGCACACUCCUACUCAUAAAAUCCCUGAGAGACCCUCUGCUCUCUCGCGUUUAAGGCCACCUACUUCUUCAAACUGUCCUCCAACUACCCAAGAAGUCAAAUUACCUGCAAAGAAGAGAUUGGGACGACCCCCACUCCCAAAAACAUUGCAAAACCUUUUGGGUAUUAAACCGGGAACCAGUUCAAAAAAAAAAGAAAGGUCAACCAGAUUCGCCUCUCACCUAGAAGAAGAUGUACUCCCUCAUCCUCAACCAGAGGUUCCGGUUCAAAAUCAUCAUCAGUUAAUCGCCGCUCAGCUCCUCAG